rnacentral:lncRNA from 1 species
UUUUUGAGAUGAAGUCUCGUUCUUGUCCCCCAGGCUGGAGUGCAAUGGCAUGAUCUCAGCUCACUGCAACCUCUGCCUCCCGGGUUCAAGCAAUUCUCCUGUCUCAGCCUCCUGAGUAGCUGGAUUACAGAUGUAUACAAUUUUGAGUUUCAAAACACACCUGGCCCCAAAGAUUUCAGACAACAAACUGUGGACCCAUAUCUUCCUCAUAGGAUCAUGACAACAGCAUGAAACAAUGCAAGUAGAAUUUCUGGAAUACCCUAUGUUAAUGCCAUUUCCCUUCCCCUUUUCCCUGAAGAGUCUUUUCUAAGGCACCAACUACUUCCUUCAAGCAGCAGCCAGAGAUCUUUGCUUAAUGGCUGGUAAGGUUUUUCUAAACUUUUGGCAUCUAUAUCUGUUGGUCCAACUUGCCUAUUAGUCUGUAAACUCCUUCAGGGUAGGGAUUGUGUUCCACACCCUGUACAAGCAGCACCAGGGGGCAGUCUCAGGGUGGAAGGAGUUUUUUUUGUGUGCAGAGUGGAAGGGGAGGGGGGUUCACUAAAAGGAGAGAAGAGGGUGCCUAGAAAGGCAGACUUGAGGGGUGGAGGAGACAGAAGUGAGGCUAGCAAAAACCUAGAUCCCCUUAGCAAUGAUUAAGAGCAUAGUCUUUGGAAUCAAUAGACAUGAGGCUACAUGCCAGCUGUAUAACUUAUUGACUGUCUAACAUAUUGUAGUGGGUUAAAUUGUGGCCUCUAAAAAGAUACAUCCAUGUCUUAACUCUAGGAACUUAUGAAUGUGACUCUUAGAAAAAGAGUCUUUGUAGAUGUAAUUAACUUAAGGCUCUCGAGAGGAGAUCACCCUGGAUUAUUCUGGUGGGUCCUAAAUCCAAUGACAAAUAUCUUUAUAAGAGAAACACAGAGGAGAGACCCAGAGAGAAGGAGAAGGCCGCAUGAAGAUGGAGCAGAGACUGGAGUUAUUCAGCCAAGUCAAGGAAUGCCUGGAGCACCAGAAGCCGGAAGAGGCAAGGAAGGAUCCUCCCUUAGAGCAUUUGGAAGAGUGUGGCCCUGCCAACACCUUGACUUCAAACUUCUGGCCUCCAUAACUAUGAAAUAAAUUCUUGUUGUUUUAAGCCACCAAGUUUGUGGUAACUUUUCUUUUCCCAUUAAAAAAAGAACCGUAAUAUUUUUUCAUGACCCUGUCCCAGAAAACUCUUCUGUACUCACAUGGC